GGGCAUGUAGCUCAGUUGGUAGAGCGCGUCAUUAGCAUCUCCGCCCGUUCUGCUCCCAGAGCCGCGAGCAAGCAUUGCUUCAUUGACGAGGUCUUUGGUUCGAUUCCUAACUUGUCCA